rnacentral:rRNA from 1 species
CGCGCGGGCGGUAUACCUGAGCAGCACGCCGCGUGAGUGAUGAAGGUUUUCGGAUCGUAAAGCUCUGUCUUCAGGGAGAUAAUGACGGUACCUGAGGAGGAAGCCACGGCUAACUACGUGCCAGCAGCCGCGGUAAUACGUAGGUGGCGAGCGUUGUCCGGAUUUACUGGGCGUAAAGGGAGCGUAGGCGGAUUUUUAAGUGAGAUGUGAAAUACCCGGGCUCAACUUGGGUGCUGCAUUUCAAACUGGAAGUCUAGAGUGCAGGAGAGGAGAGUGGAAUUCCUAGUGUAGCGGUGAAAUGCGUAGAGAUUAGGAAGAACACCAGUGGCGAAGGCGACUCUCUGGACUGUAACUGACGCUGAGGCUCGAAAGCGUGGGGAGCAAACAGGAUUAGAUACCCUGGUAGUCCACGCCGUAAUCGAUGAAUACUAGGUGUAGGGGUUGUCAUGACCUCUGUGCCGCCGCAAACGCAUUAAGUAUUCCGCCUGGGGAGUACGGUCGCAAGAUUAAAACUCAAAGGAAUUGACGGA